AGCGAACGCUGGCGGCAGGCCUAACACAUGCAAGUUGAACGGAUCCUUCGGGAUUAGUGGCGGACGGGUGAGUAACACGUGGGAACGUGCCCUUUGGUUCGGAACAACUCAGGGAAACUUGAGCUAAUACCGGAUGUGCCCUUCGGGGGAAAGAUUUAUCGCCAUUGGAGCGGCCCGCGUCUGAUUAGCUAGUUGGUGAGGUAACGGCCCACCAAGGCGACGAUCAGUAGCUGGUCUGAGAGGAUGAUCAGCCACACUGGGACUGAGACACGGCCCAGACUCCUACGGGAGGCAGCAGUGGGGAAUCUUGCGCAAUGGGCGAAAGCCUGACGCAGCCAUGCCGCGUGAAUGAUGAAGGUCUUAGGAUUGUAAAAUUCUUUCAGCGGGGACGAUAAUGACGGUACCCGCAGAAGAAGCUCCGGCUAACUUCGUG
rnacentral:rRNA from 1 species